rnacentral:lncRNA from 1 species
GUACUUGAGGUUAAUCCCUUCUCAGCUCAGUGGGGUAAAGGGCGACCGUUCUGAGGAAUCACUUGAGUCCGUCCUACCUGGCUGUGCCUCCCACCUAUCCAUUUGCAGAUGUCCUUUACAUUCCUUUACGUCUGUGAGUGCUGCUUCUUAUGGCUUUGUAUGUGACUUUCUUACAUCUGUCUCUGUAAGUGCCCUUCCUUUCCAUCCAUGUUUAUAGGAGUCCUUGUCCAGCCCAUUUAUGUCUGCUUGUGAUGAUCUGCUGUGCGCCAGUCCUUCCCUGUCCGCUUGUGAUUUUGUAUCCUUUUCUUGUUUACCCAUCUCUGCCCCCUUCCUGUCUGCCUGUGACUGAGUGCCCUCUACUUGUCUGCCCUGUAUGUGUGUGUCCUUUACAUGCUAAUUCAUCUCUGUGUGGGCACCACCUCCCUGUUCCCAGAUUGCAGAAAAUUCUGUUGAGCGAAGCCAGAGAAAAGGCUGUUGAGGUUUUGGGAGGAGGCUGAAGAGAAAAUUGGAAAGGUUGAUGAGGAGGGA